AUGUGAUGGAUUUGAAAGAUUGAAAUAUAAUGUGGUCGACUUAAUUAAGGUUGAAAGUUAAACCUUAGGUCACCUUGAGCAUUUGGAUCAAAGGGAUGAAUUAUACGGUAACCAUAUGCCAAUAGGUUCUAGAAGGUUGCUUUGCAAUACUUUGACCUAUCCGGUCAUCGAGUCAUCAUUACUAGAUGGUUACAUCGAUUAGUAUAGAAAGUUAUUCCUAUGCUACCAGCUU
rnacentral:lncRNA from 1 species